GACGAACGCUGGCGGCGUGCCUAAUACAUGCAAGUAGAACGCUGAAGGAGGAGCUUGCUUCUCUGGAUGAGUUGCGAACGGGUGAGUAACGCGUAGGUAACCUGCCUGGUAGCGGGGGAUAACUAUUGGAAACGAUAGCUAAUACCGCAUAAGAGUGGAUGUUGCAUGACAUUUGCUUAAAAGGUGCACUUGCAUCACUACCAGAUGGACCUGCGUUGUAUUAGCUAGUUGGUGGGGUAACGGCUCACCAAGGCGACGAUACAUAGCCGACCUGAGAGGGUGAUCGGCCACACUGGGACUGAGACACGGCCCGGACUCCUACGGGAGGCAGCAGUAGAGAAUCUUCGGCAAUGGACGGAAGUCUGACCGAGCAACGCCGCGUGAGUGAAGAAGGUUUUCGGAUCGUAAAGCUCUGUUGUAAGAGAAGAACGAGUGUGAGAGUGGAAAGUUCACACUGUG
rnacentral:rRNA from 1 species